AGAACGAACGCUGGCGGCAGGCCUAACACAUGCAAGUCGAACGAUACAGUGGCAGACGGGUGAGUAACGCGUGGGAACGUACCUUUCACUACGGAAUAGCUCCGGGAAACUGGUGGUAAUACCGUAUACGCCCUCAGGGGGAAAGAUUUAUCGGUGAAAGAUCGGCCCGCGUUGGAUUAGCUAGUUGGUGAGGUAAUGGCUCACAAAGGCGACGAUCCAUAGCUGGUCUGAGAGGAUGAUCAGCCACAUUGGGACUGAGACACGGCCCAAACUCC
rnacentral:rRNA from 2 species